AAAGAAAUCCACGUGACUUUUACAUGAUCUCCUCAAGAGAAACCAAGCUUUUAGAAAUAUACUGGGAAAUAUUAGUCUUGGCUGCCACUUUCCUGGAGCUCAGCAGCUGCAACAGCUGUCGUCAUUUUCUGCAUUAGCAAGCAAGAUGAGGAGGAUGUGACUUUCCUAAAUCAGUGCUUGGGUGAGAUAAUGGACUGGAUGAGAGGGCAUAAACCGAGACGCAGUCCAGGCAAGACAGAAAUACUGAUGAUUGGUGUUUCAUCCAUCCAGGGUGGAGGAAGAUGUAGCAGGGCCUCUCCUGAUUAUUACAGCGUGCAGGCAGGUUCAUUUGGGAGGAGACAAGAGGUUGUAUAUUAUGUGAUGAAGCUCCAAUCUAUUGCAGAUUUGGAGCCAUUUGUAAAGGAAGUUCUUUCCUUACUGUGUCUGGUUUGGACUGGGAUGGCAAAAAGUGAUGCUUCUUUGCACAACUGGGUUGCUUGUACACCUGGCUUUCUUAUUACUUUUGCAC